CAAUAGUCUCUUCUUCGCUUGGUUUUUGUGGCGCUUUUCGUUUUUUAUUGCUUUUCUUCAUUUUUCUUGUUCCUUCCAUAUUAUUAUGACUUGCGUAUCAGCUGG
rnacentral:ribozyme from 1 species